rnacentral:rRNA from 1 species
AUUGAACGCUGGCGGCGGGCCUAACACAUGCAAGUCGAGCGGAUGACGGGAGCUUGCUCCUUGAUUCAGCGGCGGACGGGUGAGUAAUGCCUAGGAAUCUGCCUGGUAGUGGGGGACAACGUUUCGAAAGGAACGCUAAUACCGCAUACGUCCUACGGGAGAAAGCAGGGGACCUUCGGGCCUUGCGCUAUCAGAUGAGCCUAGGUCGGAUUAGCUAGUUGGUGGGGUAAUGGCUCACCAAGGCGACGAUCCGUAACUGGUCUGAGAGGAUGAUCAGUCACACUGGAACUGAGACACGGUCCAGACUCCUACGGGAGGCAGCAGUAGGGAAUUUUGGACAAUGGGCGCAAGCCUGAUCCAGCCAUGCCGCGUGUGUGAAGAAGGUCUUCGGAUUGUAAAGCACUUUAAGUUGGGAGGAAGGGCAGUAAGUUAAUACCUUGCUGUUUUGACGUUACCGACAGAAUAAGCACCGGCUAACUCUGUGCCAGCCGCCGCAGUAACAC